rnacentral:piRNA from 1 species
GGGUUGAUGGUACUGGAGAAGGACUG